rnacentral:rRNA from 1 species
UACGGGGGGAGCAAGCGUUGUUCGGAUUUACUGGGCGUAAAGGGCGCGUAGGCGGUCAGCACAAGUCAGUUGUGAAAUCUCCGGGCUUAACCCGGAAAGGUCAAUCGAUACUGCAGGGCUAGAGUGCAGAAGGGGCAACUGGAAUUCUCGGUGUAGCGGUGAAAUGCGUAGAUAUCGAGAGGAACACCUGCGGCGAAGGCGGGUUGCUGGGCUGACACUGACGCUGAAGCGCGAAAGCUAGGGGAGCGAACGGG